UGCGUAGGCGGGCAGGUAAGUCAGCGGUGAAAUCUUCGGGCUUAACCCGAAAACUGCCAUUGAUACUAUCUGUCUUGAAUAUUGUGGAGGUUAGCGGAAUAUGUCAUGUAGCGGUGAAAUGCUUAGAUAUGACAUAGAACACCUAUUGCGAAGGCAGCUAACUACGCAUAUAUUGACGCUGAGGCACGAAAGCGUGGGGAUCAAACAGGAUUAGAUACCCUGGUAGUCCACGCCCUAAACGAUGGAUACUCGACAUACGCGAUACACUGUGUGUGUCUGAGCGAAAGCAUUAAGUAUCCCACCUGGGAAGUACGACCGCAAGGUUGAA
rnacentral:rRNA from 1 species